rnacentral:rRNA from 1 species
CAAAAUUAAACAUACUUCAUUAGUAUUGUGUAAUACCGGCCAGCAGGAGCGGUAAUACGAAGGCCCCAAGCGUUAUCCGGAAUUACUGGGCGUAAAGAGCGAGUAGCUGGUGAUGUUAGUCCGGUGUUAAAUCUCGAGGCUCAACCUCGAGGCCGCAUUGGAAACGGCAUUACUAGAGCGGGUGAGAGGCAAGCAGAACGUGCGGUGUAGGGGUGAAAUCCGUUGAUAUCGCACGGAAUACCAAAAGCGAAAGCAGCUUGCUAGCGCCGCGCUGACAGUCAAUCGCGAAAGCGUGGGGAUCAAAAAGGAUUAGAUACCCUUGUAGUCCACGCCCUAAACGAUGCAGGCUAGCUAUUAGGAGCAUCGACCCUCCUGGUGGCGAAGCUAACGCGUUAAGCCUGCCGCCUGGGAAGUACGAGCGCAAGCUUAAAACUCAAAGAAAUAGACGGGGAUCCGCACAAGCGGUGGACCAUGUGGUUUAAUUCGACUCUAAGCGAAGAACCUCACCAGGGCUUGAAAUCCAGACGAAAGUUUCGGGAAACCGAGACCCUCGCAAGACGGCUGGACAGGUGCUGCACGGCCGUCGUCAGCUCGUCAUGUGAAUGGUUCCAUUAAGUUGGGAAACGAGCGCAACCCCUGUCGCGUGUUACUUAUGUCACGCGAGACUGCCCAGUUCCUAACCUGCAAGGCAGGUAAAUCUCAAAAAUCCAAAUCUCAAAUAGCAAAUAAAUUCCAAAAUUGAAUAUUGUUUGUGAUUUGUUGUUUAGUGCUUGGGAUUUACCGAUUUUGUCGGUUGUGAACUGGGAGGAAGGCGGGGACGACGUCAGGUCAGCGUGGCCCUUUGAUGCCCUGGGCUACACACGUGGUACAAUGGACAGUACAAUGGGUCGCUAAGGCGCGAGCCGGAGCCAAUCCCACCAAAGCUGUCCCCAGUUCGGAUAAGAGGCUGCAACUUGCCUCUUUGAAGUUGGAAUCGCUAGUAAUCGCAGAUCAGAACGCUGCGGUGAAUACGUUCCCGGAUCUUGUACUCACAAUGAAAGCGCCCGGCAGGUUAAUAUUCUAGAUGGUUAAAAUCCAUCCUCCCAUCAGACCGUGAUGGGACGUAGUUGAAGACUAGGCUUAGGUCGUGAGAUUUAAGUCGAAGGAGUUGGAAACAAA